rnacentral:rRNA from 1 species
UACGGAGGGUGCAAGCGUUAAUCGGAAUUACUGGGCGUAAAGGGCGCGCAGGCGGCUCUGAAAGUCAGAUGUGAAAGCCCCGGGCUUAACCUGGGAACUGCAUUUGAUACUCUAGAGCUUGAGUACGGGAGAGGAGAGUGGAAUUCCCAGUGUAGAGGUGAAAUUCGUAGAUAUUGGGAAGAACACCGGUGGCGAAGGCGGCUCUCUGGACCGUAACUGACGCUGAGGCGCGAAAGCGUGGGGAGCAAACAGG